GUCAUGAGAUAGCUCAGUUGGUAGAGCAUGAGAGUCUUAGAGCUGUGGGUUCAAGUCCCAUGUUGGGCA